UACGGCGGGUGCAAGCGUUGUCCGGAUUUAUUGGGUUUAAAGGGUGCGUAGGCGGUCUUUUAAGUCAGUGGUGAAAGCCUCCAGCUCAACUGGAGAAAUGCCAUUGAUACUGGAAGACUUGAGUAUAGUUGAGGUAGGCGGAAUUGACAGUGUAGCGGUGAAAUGCAUAGAUAUUGUCAAGAACACCGAGUGCGAAGGCAGCUUACUAAACUAUAACUGACGCUGAGGCACGAAAGUGCGGGGAUCAAACAGG
rnacentral:rRNA from 1 species